rnacentral:misc_RNA from 1 species
GAUGAAGAACGUAGCGAAAUGCGAUAAGUAAUGCGAAUUGCAGAAUUCCAGUGAAUCAUCGAAUCUUUGAACGCACAUUGCGCCCCAUGGUAUUCCGUGGGGCAUGCCUGUUCGAGCGUCAUUUACCCCCUCAAGCUCCGCUUGGUGUUGGGCGUCUGUCCCGCUUCGCGCGCGGACUCGCCCCAAAGGUAUUGGCAGCGGUCGUGCCAGCUUCUCGCGCAGCACAUUGCGCUUCUCGAGGCACCGGUGGGCCCGCGUCCAUCAAGCUCACCCCCCCAGUUUGACCUCGGAUCAGGUAGGGAUACCCGCUGAACUUAAGCAUAUCAAUAAGCGGAGGA